UACAGAGGUGGCAAGCGUUGUUCGGAAUUACUGGGCGUAAAGUGUGCGCAGGCGGCCAUGCAAGUCGAGUGUGAAAGCCCCGAGCUUAACUUGGGAAUUGCGCUCGAAACUACGUGGCUGGAGUGUGGCAGAGGAAGGUGGAAUUCCACGUGUAGCGGUGAAAUGCGUAGAGAUGUGGAGGAACACCGAUGGCGAAGGCAGCCCCCCUGGGCUAACACUGACGCUCAUGCACGAAAGCGUGGGGAGCAAACAGG
rnacentral:rRNA from 1 species